CAAAUGAAUUGACGGGGACCCGCACAAGCAGCGGAGCGUGUGGUUUAAUUCGUUGCUACACGAAGAACCUUAUCUGGGUUUGACAUAUAGGUUGUAGGGAACUGAAAAGGGACCGACCCUUCGGGGAGCCUAUACAGGUGUUGCAUGGCUGUCGUCAGCUCGUGUCGUGAGAUGUUCGGUUAAGUCCGCUAACGAGCGCAACCCUCGUCGUAUGUUAUAUGUGUCAUACGAGACUGCCGGUAAAAGCCGGAGGAAGGUGAGGAUGAUGUCAAGUCAGCAUGACCUUUAUAUCCAGGGCUACACACACGCUACAAUGGUCUGUACAAUGGGUAGCCAAGCCGCGAGGCGGAGCCAAUCCUGAAAGCAGGCCUCAGUUCAGAUUGCAGUCUGCAACUCGACUGCAUGAAGCCGGAGUUGCUAGUAACCGCAGGUCAGCAAUACUGCGGUGAAUACGUUCCCGGGUCUU
rnacentral:rRNA from 1 species